UGUGCUUGAAGUAAUAACAUUUUUUAUAAGUACCCUUCCUACUUUAAGAAAAUAAGUUAUUCCUGUAUCGCAGUUGAGAUAUUCAACUGUGCAAGGUAGGUAUUUUAAUCUACAAAUUUUAAUUAACUUAGAUGAAUUUUUUACUUCUCUAAAAGGUUUUAAAAAUAUUUUUCAAUGCAACUAAAUUAUCCAUUUGGUCUUAUUCUGUCCAUUUAUCGGCCUACUCCCCGGUUAAAUGCGUUAAUUUAUUUGACACCUAACACUUAGCUGAUUGAAUGCAUCAAUUUAAUUAGCCUACUGUAUUUGUAGAAAAAUGGACAUAAGGAAGUUCUUUAACAAGCCAAACAAGCGGCUGAAAAUUGAUGAUGGAUCUGACAUACCGAACAGUACCGAAAACAGUAGUAUAGUAUGCAGUCAAAAUGAUUUAGCUGUAGCAGGGCCAUCUAGCUUGGAGUCAGCUGUAUCCGCCUCUCAAAGAGAAACUAACGUUGUAACGGCCACCGCAUCGGAUAAUUUUGCGAUUGUUGAAGACAGUUUAAAUUUGGAUGUUGGGAACUACCUUGAUAUUAAUAAAAUUUGUAGCUUGAACGAUCGCUUGAAAUUUACUUUGUUAACAAACCCAUGGAAGCCAGAUAAAUGUUACAAUUUCAAGUAUGAUAUUGACGAUGGCAAACGACCAUUUAUCCAUGAAUGGUUAAAUACGUACCCCUGGUUAGCUUAUUCAAAAGAAGUUAAAGGUGGGCUAUGCAAGUUGUGUGUACUGUUUAGGCCCCGCGUAACCCAUGGUAGUUAUCAAAGCGGCUUUAUAAAUCGCCCAUUCACCAAUUUCAGAAAGUUUCAUGAAAAUGCGAAAUCGAAAGGUUUUCAGAUAGAAACAAACCAUCAUUUGAAAUUUUCAAUCUGCACCCUAAAAUCAUGAAAGAUCUUUCUAAGGAAGAUUUUGAAAAGUCUAUUAACAAUAUAAACAGCACGUAUUGUGAAUUGUUAGACAACUUUAAGGAGCAAUCAAUUCUGUGGUUCGACCUUUGGAAAAACACGGAGAUAGAUGCCAAAGCCUUGGAAAAACUGAACUUAAUAGAGGUUCUUGAGCAUGAGCAUGCCUGCUUUUUGCCGUCAGUAGCAAAAGCCAUCCAAAUAGCUCUUUGUCUGCCACCAACAACUUGCACCAUCGAGCGAUCAUUCAGCACUCUCAAACGUGUGAAGACCUGGAUAAGGAAUACGAUGUCGAACAAUCGUCUAAGUGGGCUAUGCCUGUUAUCUGUACACAGAAGAAAAAUAAAAGAAAAUAAAGAAAACUUCAUGCAGAAAGUAAUUGAUUUAAUUGCGAUGGACACCAGAAGAAUUCAAUUAUUAUUUAAGUAACAUUUUACUGACACUAACCGUGUUGCGUUUUAAACAGCAAAACAAUUUUUCUUGUA